GGCUCCUUGGUCUAAUGGAAGCGACAUCAGGUUCUCAGCCUGAAAAUGUGAGUUCGAUCCUCACAGGAGUCG
rnacentral:tRNA from 1 species